CUGCCCCCUGCUCCGCCUCCUCCGUGCUCCGACCCCGCAUUUCAAAUUUCCUCAACAGCCUUCCCCUUCCUUCCUCCUCCGCUCCGCCUGCGCCCCAGCCGAACAAGCACCUCGCCGCCCGCCGCCCGCCGCCCGCCGACCGCGGGCUCGGAUCCGGCCCGCCCCUCCCCGCGCCGUCGCGGCCCCCCGACCGAGCGCGCCAUGGACAGCGACGACGAGGAGAUGCGCGACGCCUCCUCCUCCUCCUGCUCCGCCGCCGCCGACGACGACGGCGCGGGGUUCGAGGAGGUGGAGGACGAAGAGAAGGACGGGGUGAUGGUGAUGGAGGUCCGGUGGUUCGAGGUGGACCUCGACUACGAGUACGACGCGCCGCGCUGGUUCGACCUCGCGCAGGCCGAGGCCCCCGCCGAGGCCGCCGCCGCCGAGCUCUGGUUCGCCACCGCCCCCAGCUACCCGCCCUCCCCGUUGAUUGCAAUGAUGUUGGCUGAAGACCUUGGGCUGCCAAACCUAAGAAGCAUCACAGUUGCAGAUAUAGAGGCUGUGCGUUGCCCUAAACCAUCUCAACGUUGUUCUGGUGCAACUGAACAAAGUAUAUAUCGAUCACAUGUACCAAAUGAAGGACGGAUACCGAGCUAUGGAGCAUCAAAACAUGAACGAAAACCUGUCACUCGAAGUGCUGUGAAGGGGAGUUUAUCCAAGGGGUCCACACUGAUGAAGCCUACAGCCAGUCAAUUGGCCAGGCAACACAAGCAACUUGAAGUGAAGAAUGUUGUACCUAGUAAAAAAUCAGUUGGAGUGAGAAGUGACAGAAGUACCAUUAGCUCAAAUGAUUGCACUCAACAAGCUGGUAAAAGGCAGAAACUUGAAAAAGGUCAUCUCAACAAGGAUGUUGCUACAAAUCAACAUGAGUUGAUUCACAAGGCCCAUGAAAAGAAUGUUAUGAGCAGUAGCUAUGAUCGUGCCACCGUUCUACCUAAAUUGAAGAUUACAGUUCCGAGAGAACCUGAGUUGGCUACUAAGCUGAGAGCAGAGAGGUCAAGGAUUCAAAGAUUAGUCCCAAGUAAUUCAAAGCAGUUAGACAGACGGGAUCCUGCUUGUACGACCCAAUCGGCACCGACUAGAAAGGUCGUGCAACCUUUUCGGGCUCAUCAGCAUGCAAAUAUACAACAUGUCAAUGUUGCACCAAAAACGCCAGUGUGUUCAUCUAACCGUGCAACUAGUCUUCACAACAUUGAUAAAACAUCAGAAGAUGACCGAGAUGGCACGACGGGCACGUUUAAAUUUAAAGCUCUGCCACUGGAUAAAAAGAUAUUGGCAAGCAGAGGAGACAUCGGUGUAUUUCAAACUGCCAAAAGAAAUCCUACAGUGCCUAAGGAAUUCAACUUGUCAACAAGCCGGAAGAGCAAGCAGCCUCCAUUAUCCGAACUCUUUAACAAAGUAUGUACUGAUAGAACAAAAAUGGAUCACCUUCAAAUUACCUCACUGUUCACUCUGAUAUCGACGCAUGUUCUGGCAGCUUUCUUUAAGUACCGAAGCCUGCCGUACCAUGGGCCACCAGACCAGUGAACGCCCAAAUUAUAUCACUACCAAGGACUGCAAAGAGAACAUGAUUGGUGCCAUUCAUUGCUAGCUCUAGUAAGCGGUAUCUUUAACUACCUGGUAAGACCGACUUUAGUCAGGAAAAAUAUCAUACAGUUCUCUUUGACAGCCUGCACAAAGGUUAAAGCGUCUAAUUUUGGAGAGUAGGGUUCCGACUCUUUAAGUCUAACAAGAUGGAUGAAGCGAAACAUUAUUCGCCGUUAAGCUGCCCUCCCCGGCGAUCUCCGGCAUCGGCCAGUUUUCAGCAGCUGCUCCCAGAGACCAGCCCGAUUUGCCCCGUUCUCGGCCUCUGUCGCACGGCUUAACGUAGCUCCUUGGCUGCUCGUCGCCGUCCCGGAGAUCGUCGAACCCUUUUUGUACAGCUAGAGAAGCAAAACAACCCAGUCAGCCAUAGCUCGUAUUGUUGGGGAGAGCGACUUGCCUUACCUGACCUGACCUGACCUGGUGCGCCUGGUGGUGGGCUCUGAAGUUGUAACGACGACACCACCGGUUCAAAGCAUCUGGCAAAGUUGUUCGCUUGCUGUGUGGCAUUGAUCCCCCAGUUUUCUUGUGUGCCCUGCGAAA